CCUUGUACACACGCCCGUCACACCAUGGGAGCGGGUUCUGCCAGAAGUAGUUAGCCUAACCGCAAGGAGGGCGAUUACCACGGCAGGGUUCGUGACUGGGGUG
rnacentral:rRNA from 1 species